UACAGAGGUCCCGAGCGUUGUUCGGAUUCACUGGGCGUAAAGGGUGCGUAGGUGGCUUGGAAAGUCUGAUGUGAAAUCUCGGAGCUCAACUCCGGAACGGCAUUGGAUACUACUGAGCUUGAGGUUCGGAGGGGAGACUGGAAUUCUCGGUGUAGCAGUGAAAUGCGUAGAUAUCGAGAGGAACACCGGUGGCGAAGGCGAGUCUCUGGACGGAAUCUGACACUGAGGCACGAAAGCUAGGGGAGCAAACAGG
rnacentral:rRNA from 1 species